rnacentral:rRNA from 1 species
CCCGAAUAAGAAGCACCGGCUAACUACGUGCCAGCAGCCGCGGUAAUACGUAGGGUGCGAGCGUUAAUCGGAAUUACUGGGCGUAAAGCGUGCGCAGGCGGUUUGGUAAGUCAGAUGUGAAAUCCCCGGGCUCAACCUGGGAACUGCAUUUGAGACUGCCAGGCUGGAGUUUGGCAGAGGGGGUGGAAUUCCACGUGUAGCAGUGAAAUGCGUAGAGAUGUGGAGGAACACCGAUGGCGAAGGCAGCCCCCUGGGCCAAUACUGACGCUCAUGCACGAAAGCGUGGGGAGCAAACAGGAUUAGAUACCCUGGUAGUCCACGCCCUAAACGAUGUCAACUAGGUGUUGGGAGGGUUAAACCUUUUAGUGCCGUAGCUAACGCGUGAAGUUGACCGCCUGGGGAGUACGGCCGCAAGGCUAAAACUCAAAGGAAUUGAC